AAGAACACAAAGAACACAAGGAUUUUAUCGUGGUUCGCCCCAAUGUUUGGGCUACGUCCACACUGAUUAUGUAUUUAUUUGAGGGAAUAGAGAGGGAGAGGGUGAGAGCUUCUGAGAGUUUUUGAGGGUGAGAGAGGGGAUCUCAGGCCUAUGAAUUGGCCUCCGAGAGUGAGAGUGAGCUCUCUCCAAUUGUGAGGGUGAGGGGUCCUUUUAUAGAAUAAGGACUCCUCACUUAUUACAUAUUUGCCCCUUCCUUUAUCCCAUAAUUACAUUUAAGUCCCCUGAGUAUUUGUACGAGAUCUAAAUACGAGGCCCUAAAUAUGGUAUAAACAGUAGUCCCCCAAGUCUUCAGUCAAGAGAGUCUUUUGGCUGGAGACUUGAAAUUCAGUCCAUGUGUGGGCCGAAGUAACUAGAUGUCGUCUAGAACUGAUGCUCGAUAUGAGGCGGUGCCCAAUCUGAAAUGAUGUUCAACUAGAAGUAGCACAUGUUGUGAGGCCGCUUUGCUUGUAGCUUGUGUUGCCUUGGUUGGCUCGGCUUGUGGUGUUGAAGGUGAAUGAGUCCCUUUUAUAGGAUAAGGGCUCACUCCUCAAUACAUAAGUGAUGGGCUAGAGUCCCCCAAGUAUUUUUCAUGAGUGCUCUCUAAAAGUGAAGGAGUCCCUUUUAUAGAAUAAGGGCUCGCUCCUCAAUACAUAAGUGAUGGGCUAGAGUCUCCGAAGUAUUUUUUAUGAGGCCCAGUUGAGGCCCAAUAUAUGGUACAUAAUGUAGUCCCCCAAGUCUUCGGUCAAUAGAGUCUGUUGGCUGGAGACUUCAAAUUGAAUCCAUGUAUGGGCCGAAGUGGUGG
rnacentral:lncRNA from 1 species